rnacentral:rRNA from 1 species
AGAGUUUGAUCCUGGCUCAGGAUGAACGCUGGCGGUCUGCUUAACACAUGCAAGUCGAACGCAACCUUCGGGUUGAGUGGCGGACGGGUGAGUAACGCGUGAGAAUCUGCCUUAGGGUCGGGGACAACCACUGGAAACGGUGGCUAAUAUCGGAUAAGCCGAUUGGUGAAAGAUUUAUUGCCCGAAGAGGAGCUCGCGUCUGAUUAGCUAGUUGGUGAGGUAAGAGCUCACCAAGGCAGCGAUCAGUAGCUGGUCUGAGAGGACGAUCAGCCACACUGGGACUGAGACACGGCCCAGACUCCUACGGGAGGCAGCAGUGGGGAAUUUUCCGCAAUGGGCGAAAGCCUGACGGAGCAAGACCGCGUGAGGGAGGAAGGCUCUUGGGUUGUAAACCUCUUUUCUCAGGGAAGAAGCUCUGACGGUACCUGAGGAAUCAGCCUCGUCUAACUCCGUGCCAGCAGCCGCGGUAAUAC